AAACAUUUCCGCAUGAGCACGGGCAGCCGGGCAGUGAGUGCGGGCAGCCGGGCAGGGCUUGGCUGGUGGCUUCUAAAGCCAUCAGUAACACCACGGUCAGUCGGGUCAGUUGCUUCUGCAUCUCCUUCAGUCUCAUUCUUGCCAUAUAUGCACAAUGAAAAUGUUUUUUUAACAAUUAUUUUACAAAAGAAUACGUGGCUUAUGAUUAGUUCAUUUACAUACUUUUUUGAAAAUAAAUUUAAACAAACUAUUAAAAUAAUCAUAUUUUAUUGUCCAAAAAAUUAUUUAAAAAAAUAGUUAUUAACAUCAGACACCUAUCCAUAAACUAAUACCUCCUUUUAAUUUACAUAACUCCAAAUUAAUAAAGAAACCGUACUUGAUAUCAAUAUAAAGUGAUGACUAAUUAAAUUUUAAGUUUAUAAUAAAUAAAUUUGUACAUUUCCAAAUUGUCUGUUCUUUUUAUUUUUAUAUAAAUAAAUUAUAUUUUUUUAAUUAAACUUUUAUCUACUUACUUCUUUUAAGUUUAUUCUUGUUUUGUCGUCUAGCAUUUUUUUAUUUUCAUACGUUAAAAAUUAUGAAAAUUUUAUAUUAAUUUAAAAUAAUAUUAUGAUGAAUGUAAAAACAGAAAAAAAAAUUAUUGUUUAGUGUAUAAUGACAAUUAAUGUAAAAUCAAUUUUUAUAACGAUUUUAAUCAAGUUGACACGUUUCAAUUACAUAUAAAUUAUAUAUAUAUAUAUAUAUAUAUAUAUAUAUAUAAAGUGUAAAAUAUGAAUUUGAAAACUUAAAAUUAAGAUUUGAAUAAUUUCUUAAUUUUAGAUAGUCUAAUUAUUUUAAUAAAAUAUUAUAAUUUUAAACGUUUUUCAAAUGUUUUGUUAUAAAUUAUAUUAGUCCUCGUUUUUACGGAAAUUUUGAUUUUCGUCCUUUAAAGCUUAACGCAUUUAAAAACCAACUGUGACUAACGUUAGACUGACACGAUUUUUUCUUCUUACAUUUAGUCAGUGUUUUUCACCUUUUCUCCCCCUCUCUCCCUCGUCUCUUCCUUCCAUCUUCUACCUAACCUUCCCUCAAUCAGAGAAAUACACAAGAAGAAGAAAAAAAAUUACAAAAGAAUGCAAACCAUUCUGAUAUUAAUCCAAACAAUGGAAAGGAAUGUUUUCCUACAUACAUCUAAUUGUUCAUCAAGAUACCACAAAAAACACACAGCAAGCUUCCUCCAAAAUAUAUAAUCUAUUUACCAAACCAUGACAUUAUUACCUUAAUUUUUGGUAAUCAGUAUAGUUUCUGGUGUUUGGUAAUCAGUAUAGUUUCCAGAUGACAUUGCUCUAUUAUUUAAGAGGUAUAGCAAAAUCCAACGUACAACAAAAUAUACUACCACUUCAACUCAAAUUACUUUUUUUCCUUUAAAAAUAAACUCAAACCAAAAAGAUUUGUUUAUUACCUAAAUUCUCCAACUCAAAUUUCGCUUUCCUCACACAACUCGAUCAUCGGUGACAAUGGAGUGAAGGAAGAUAUCGGCUUCGGAGACAACGUCAUGGUCACCGACCCAUCCGAUGUGUACUUUCUCGGGCACCCUCUCUUCUUUUUAGCUAGCUUCAUCACUGGCGACACUUUCAUUGCUGCCGUGUGCGGCGGUUUUACUGAAGGAGCACUCCCUACCGUCGCCGGAAUUUGUGUCGUGGAUCCACUUGCGAGAGUUGGGUUGUCGUUCCUUGGAGCUACAUGGUAAUCCAACGGAGCAUCCGAUCCCACCACCAUUCGUUGUGAGUUGAGGAACAGAAUAGGGAUGCUGGGUGGGAAGGUUGGGUUGAGAGAGGGUGGGGAGGUUGAGUGGAAGAUGGAAGGAAGAGAUGAGGGAGAAAGAGGGAGAAAAGGUGAGAAACACUGACUCAGUAUAAGAAAAAACAAAUCGUGACAGUCUACCAUUAGUCAUAUAGGUGUUAGUUUUGAAGGACUAAAAUCAAAGUUUCCUUAAGGAGAAACACUAAAAUGUACCUUAUUUCGAAGUAGGGACUAAAACCAAAACCGCUUGAUAAUAUAGGGACUAACAUCAUAUUUAACCCUUUUGUAAAUUAUUUAUAAUUAGUUACGUAAUUAUAAUUAAUUCAAUUCAAUUUCAUUUAAUGAAUUAAUGAUUAUACUAUUCAUAUAAUUAUAAGUAGUUGAAAUUUUAUUUUGAAAUCUGUUUACUCUUUAAGGAUGUUCAUAUCUGUCAACGGUUUGAGAUCUGUUUAAGUGAUACAAAUAUCUGGUUAAGAUAAAUGCGUUUUAAUCAUUAAAAAUUAAAUAUUUUAUAAGGAAAAAAGGAAAUGGAAAGGUAUAGGGAAUAAUGAUAGAAAGACUCUACCAUUUUCAUCUUUGAGCGGAAGAAGGAGAGAAAUCCUUCUCCAUAUUUGGUCUCUUCUUCACACGGAGAGGGAAAGGCCCCUCUCAUGGUACCUCUUCCUAGAGGCGCAGCAUAACAAAAGGGUGAUGAGAGUGAUGAAUGUGGGUUGGGAUUAUGGGUACAGACACAAGAAGAUGUUUUAUCUGUUUUUAACUUGGUAUGAACUGUAUGAAAUGAUUUCUCUGUCUUGAUUAUUUUGUGGAGGAGAUUAUGGUUGGGCUUAAUGAUGAAUGAAAUAAAUCUAACAUGAAUUGGUGAAUCAUGGAAGAAAUUAACGGAGAGUGACGAAAUGGAGGUAACAUCACAAGUAAUAAUAAUAUCCACAUAUUAACAACACAUUAAUAUAGAAUACUAAACCUUGAAACACAUUCAAACUAUUUCAUACAUAUUCAUGACAUACCUGUUAAUGCUUUCUUCUAAAUUUUCUCUUCCCUUGUUUCUCCUCUUUCUUCCUGUUCCAGUCUUCUAGUUUUUUCGUUAUUUUUUCUCCUUUCGGAUCUUUUUCUCCUUUUCCUAUAUUCCAGACUCUUUCUUCUGU
rnacentral:lncRNA from 1 species